UAUGUAUUUGUCUCCUGCCAAAGACUGAUCUUGUUCGAACGAGUUUGGAUAGGUUCUAUACACAUGGUUGGUGUGAAGAAAAUAGCAAUACUGGUAUAUUGUUGAGUUUAUGAAGCUAAUGUGUUAUUAAUUGUAUUUUUACCGUGUGUGGGGGAAACAAAAUAAUCAAGGUGAAAAGAUGAGACAGUCGGGAGGCCCAUCGAGCGUUGGAGGCACCGGGGAAAAUCCGACCCGGUCAGGAAAUAUGUCCAACCACCUCCUUACCCAUGCUUCGGGUACUGCGGGAGCAUGGACAACAGGUCGAGUCCCUCCGACUGUAUCCUCCGCCCAUCUUGGUCCUUUUGGAGGUGGCCCCUCGCGAGUUGGUCUUCCGGCCACGGGUGUCUCCCCGGUCCAGAGCUCUCAGCUUGAUGCUCCUCUCGCCGGUCAUGUCAUGCAGGUGCAGAGCAACAACGAUUCACCGCAACCACACUUUGUGGCCCUGACCGACGGCAUCAACUCUGGAGCGUCGGCGCAGAUUCCUCCCAACUACUACCUCGACUUCAUUUUGGUGGAUCGUCCUUCUGUGCCAUGCCAACCUACGUGCACUUGCACAAGCCGCACAUUUUCACAGUUUCCGGCGCAACCGCAACAGGAGGUGCCCAUACAGUUUCUAUGGAGCAUGGUAUCCUCGGCGGCCCGGUCUCAAUAGCUUCCAAUCCUGUCACCACUUCGUCGGUGAUAGGAGCGACAGGAUCAGGCCGAGCACAGAGUGCCGGCCUGCUCAACGGCGUUCGCUCCGCCCGCCGUGGCGCACUUACACAAGAAGCAGGCAACAUAGUUGUGCAAACCCCGAUUGGUCCCAACAAUGAGCUCGCAUUUCUCAUGGGCACUGGACCCGUGUCACACAGAGAGCCGAUUCGGGAGCUUGCAUUCCUCGCAGACACGAGAUCUUCGCAGCCCAUAGAGUUGACGAGCUUGGAAGUUGGCCGCUCGCACACAGAUCCGCUUCCUGUAGGCACUACACAUGUGCAGCGAACGGAGCCGGCGGGCUUUGGCGGUGGUCGCCUCCACGGGCAUGCGCUCCUUGUGGGCACCGGGCCCGUGCAACGCACGGUGUCGGGCUUCAACGUACGUCGGUCUCCUUGUUGGAGGCCCUAGAUCCGUGUCGCAGAGACAGCCUACGGGCCUCCUUGCUAGCACGACACGGUGCAGCGACCGCGGCGGCAACAAACGAUCCCAUGGUGCGGCGCGUGACUAGGAUGGGUAGAAUCAGAGAAACCACGAUCAGAGCCCGUGCGGACAUCCUCGCAGCUGCUCGUGGUCGUGGGAAGCAAGGCGGUGCAAACCAGGAGCAGUCUGACUGGACCAAUCACCGAAGGAUAUGAACCUUUGCCGGUCGACGCCUAUCUUCCAUCGGCGUGAAGAAUAAAUCUUAGUUGUGUUUUUACUCUAUUGAAGUUUUAUUUUAAAUAAAUGGUCACUAGACCAAUAUCAUGUUUACUAGUACAAUUUAUUACCAUAUCUAUAUGUAAGAUGUUCCUAAUUUAUUUAUUUGAUGUUCCUUGGUGAGAUGCAAUUAUAUAUACCUCU